UGGGGAAUAUUGCGCAAUGGGGGCAACCCUGACGCAGCAACGCCGCGUGAUUGAAGAAGGCCUUCGGGUUGUAAAGAUCUUUAAUCAGGGACGAAGAAUGACGGUACCUGAAGAAUAAGCUCCGGCUAACUACGUGCCAGCAGCCGCGGUAAUACGUAGGGAGCAAGCGUUAUCCGGAUUUACUGGGUGUAAAGGGCGCGCAGGCGGGCCGGCAAGUUGGGAGUGAAAUCCCGGGGCUUAACCCCGGAACUGCUUUCAAAACUGCUGGUCUUGAGUGAUGGAGAGGCAGGCGGAAUUCCGUGUGUAGCGGUGAAAUGCGUAGAUAUACGGAGGAACACCAGUGGCGAAGGCGGCCUGCUGGACAUUAACUGACGCUGAGGCGCGAAAGCGUGGGGAGCAAACAGG
rnacentral:rRNA from 1 species